rnacentral:rRNA from 1 species
AACGGAGGAUGCAAGCGAUAUCCGGAAUCACUGGGCGUAAAGCGUCUGUAGGUGGUCAAAUAAGUCAACUGUUAAAUCUUGAGGCUCAACCUCAAAAUCGCAGUCGAAACUAUUAGACUAGAGUAUAGUAGGGGUAAAGGGAAUUUCCAGUGGAGCGGUGAAAUGCGUAGAGAUUGGAAAGAACACCGAUGGCGAAGGCAAUUUACGGGGCUAUUACUAACACUGAGGGAAGAAAGCUAGGGUAGCAAAUGGG